GAUGAACGCUGGCGGCAUGCCUAAUACAUGCAAGUCGAACGCAUUGUGGUUGAAAUGAUAUGAAGAACUUGUUCAGAUUUGAUUUUCAACAUUGCAAUGAGUGGCGAACGGGUGAGUAACACGUGGGAAACCUACCUCUUAGCAGGGGAUAACAUUUGGAAACAAAUGCUAAUACCGUAUAAUAAUUAAAACCGCAUGGUUUUAGUUUAAAAGAUGGUCUUGCUAUCACUAAGAGAUGGUCCCGCGGUGUAUUAGUUAGUUGGUGAGGUAAUGGCUCACCAAGACAAUGAUACAUAGCCGAGUUGAGAGACUGACCGGCCACAAUGGGACUGAGACACGGCCCAUACUCCUACGGGAGGCAGCAGUAGGGAAUCUUCCACAAUGGACGAAAGUCUGAUGGAGCAACGCCGCGUGUGUGAUGAAGGUUUCGGCUCGUAAAACACUGUUGUAAGAGAAGAAUGACAUUGAGAGUAACUGUUCAAUGUGUGACGGUA
rnacentral:rRNA from 1 species